GGCAUCUACAUUAUAAAUCUGAAGAGGACCUGGGAGAAGCUUCUGCUUGCAGCUCAUGCCAUUGUUGCCAUUGAAAACUCUGCUGAUGUCAGUGUCAUAUCUUCCAGGAAUAUUGGCCAGCGGGCUGUGCUGAAGUUUGCUGCUGCCCACUGGAGCCACUCCUAUUGCUGGCCGCUGUACUCCUGGAACCUUCACCAACCAGAUCCAGGCAGCCUUCUGGGAGCCCCGUCUGCUGGUGGUUACUGAUCCCAGGGCUGACCACCAGCCUCUCACAGAGGCAUCUUAUGUUAACCUGCCCACCAUUACUUUGUGUAACACAGACUCUCGUCUGAGCUAUGUGGACGUUGCUAUCCCGUGCAACAAUAAGGGAGCUCACUCAGUGGAUCUGAUGUGGUGGAUACUGACUCGUGAAGUUCUGCGCAUGCGUGGCACCAUCUCCCGCGAACACCCGUGGGAGGUUAUGCCUGAUAUCUACUUCUACAGAGAUCCUGAAGAGAUUGAAAAGGAAGAGCAGGCUGCUGCUGAAAAAGCUGUGACCAAAGAAGAAUGGACUGCUCCAGCUCCUAAGUUCACUGCUACUCAGCCUGAGGUUGCAGACUGGUCUGAAGGUGUGCAGGUGCCCUCUGUGCUAAUUAAGCAGUUUCCUACUGAAGACUGGAGCGCUCAGCCUACCACAGAAGACUGGUCUGUAGCUCCCACUGCUCAGGCCACUGAAUGG